CUCAGAGCCCAGCUGCCCCAACCUGCACAACACCCCCGGGGUUGACGCCUAUCAUCAUGCAGAUGCCUCGGAAGGCCGAGUCCUUCUCCUCAUUGUCCCUGAUGUUCCUGAGGGAUGUGCACCUGUGGGGAAGGCCCCACACAGGUGGGCACACACCAAGGCCGGAUGAACUGCUGCAGCAUGGGUGCCACCUCCUGUGGGCACACGUAGCCCAGGCGGCCGAUGGUGAUGGCUGGAAUGGCAGAGGGACUCGUCAGGCGACCUGCAACCCCGAGCGGCCCCGGUACGUGGCAGGGCCUCUAGCACGAGGCACCAGCCCUGCCCCACGGGCCCCAAGAGAAUAGCUCCUGCCAGCUCCCUGGGCCCCCAAGCUUGGCCCGGUCAGGGUCUCCUCCCCACCCCACUUGGGUCUCUCCCAGGUCUCCCCCGAGGCCAACAUCUUUCUUAGGCCUCCUCCCAUAGCCCCAUUCCAGGUCCUUCCAGUCACCCUCCCUGGUUCUUUCCCAAGGCCUCUUGUCAGCUACCCUCCCAGCCAGGAUACCGCACCUCCAGGAGGCGGGCAAGGGGGCGGCAAGGGCCCAGGCCUGGGGCCCACCUGUGUUUUCCAGCAAUGUCUUGGGCGUGUUGGGCCGGUUAAUGAUCUCCACCAGGUUGUUGAGGACCAUCUGCACGUAGGGCUGCAUCUCUGCCCCUGGGGGACAGGCCAGUCAGAGCCCCACACAGCCCACGCCACCCACACUGACCCGAGUUGUAUCCAGACACUGGCCAACCAGUGAGGAAGCAAAAGCAACCUUCUCUGGCUAUCUGCUGCCCAGGCGCCAUGGCCAACCAGAGACAGACCUACACCCUCCCAACACCAGAAGCUUCCCUGGCGUCACUGCUGGACACCAGGGUGAGACCACACCACCCAGCCUCCCUGUGGGGUUAGGCAGAGAGCAGAGAAGCAGUGACAGUCUCCCAGCCAAUCCCAGGGGGUCUUCCAGCCAAUUGCUUGGAGGGGAGGGAGGUGACAAGUAGUCCAAUAAGUACAGGCCUCCUGUCCUGUGCCUCUUUGGAAAAGCCAAUUACAGAUGGCCUUUCAGCCAUGUGUCCCCAUCUCGGAUGAAAAUGCUCAGAGGUGUCCCCUUGUCCCUGGCCAAUCGGAGCCUUCCUCAAGGAGCACCAGGGCCCUCUAGAGGGAACCUGUCAGUUAGAGCCAGACUCCUGGCCCCAGGCUGGGAACAAGCCAAUGGGGAGGGACAGGGCCUGCCCAGCUGUGGGGCACUUACCCAUCUGCAUGCAGAUCUCGCCAAUGGCCCAGGUGGCAUUGUUGCAGACAGAGAUGAACUCGGGGUUCAGGUUGGUGCCCAGGAUGGGCAUGAACUCAGCUGGCAGGGAGAAAGAAGGGUGCUGAGCAGGAGGGCCAGCCAGGGUAAGCUUCUGACACUUGCGAAGCAGGCCCCGUCAGACAGUACGAAUACAUCCCAGUGCGGUCACAGUCCUCCCAGGUCAUCUCUCCAUCACUUGAGGCCAGGGCUGGGGUCAUGGGGUAAGGACGAAAUGGGGGUCGUACCGAUACAGGGCUUGACAUGGAUGAAGCAGGCUUUGGUGAGGUCUCCCAGGAGGGCGAAGGAGCUCUGCCGGACCUCAGGCAUCGAGUCCUGGGGGUUGGAGCAGGGUCAGCGUGGCCGGGCUCCCCUUCCCCCAACCAGCCGGGAUCCCAACUAACCCCUCAGAGCAGGGCAGCUAAGGGAACAGUUCCUGGAGCAUGACCUGACCCUGCCACUUCCCAGUGCCAAGGCUACAGGCCCCAUCUGUACAUCUGGGACUCGGGGCAUGUGAACGAGAAUGCCCAGCUCGGUACCACUACAGAAGAGAGCACUUGGAACUGCUGCCCAUCCUCAAUACGCUGGGGGGUGGGGGCGUCAUAUUGGAGGGGCUUGUGCUUUCACAUUUCCUAUUUUCUACUUUUUAAUUUUCUACAUUGUUAGGUUUUUCAAUGAGAUUUUACAUGUUUUAUUUGAAUCACUUUUAAAAAUAAUUACAAGCUUUUUUUUU